rnacentral:rRNA from 1 species
ACGCGAGCUGGGUUCAGAACGUCGUGAGACAGUUCGGUCCCUAUCCGUCGCAGGCGUAGGAAAUUUGAGAAGACCUGUCCUUAGUACGGGAGGACCGGGAUGGACGUACCUCUGGUGUACCAGUUGUUCUGCCAAGGGCAUGGCUGGGUAGCUAUGUACGGAAUGGAUAAGCGCUGAAAGCAUCUAAGCGCGAAGCCAACUUCAAGAUAAGAUUUC